GCGUCAGUAGCGCAACGGGUUUACGCGUACGCUCCCGGAUAGGAUGAAUACGGGUUUGAGUCCCGACUGGCGCA